rnacentral:sRNA from 1 species
AACUAUCUUGCCUAAAGAUGUUGGUUUGAGAUUUGGCAACAGAACAUUCAUUAAAAACAUUACUAAACAUUAGUACUGCAAGUUCACUAUGCUAGGAUAUUUACUGAUGCUGAAGAUGAAGACCACUCAGGUUUGAAGAUUUAUGUCACACACAAAAAGCAGCCAUAUGUUGCAGGAGUUUUUUUCUUGGCAUCUGCAUCGUUUACGAUACCUCAAGGACAUUCCUGUAAGUACAAGCCUAGUUUGUUGU